UGAAUCGAUGAUGACUACUGGUGGCAUAUGAGUGUGACACGGUGAAUAUGGCUCUGGAAUGCUGAGGUCCAU